rnacentral:rRNA from 1 species
CCUACGGGGGUCUGCAGUGGGGAAUAUUGGACAAUGGGCGAAAGCCUGAUCCAGCCAUGCCGCGUGUGUGAAGAAGGCCUUCGGGUUGUAAAGCACUUUCAGUGGGGAAGAAAGCCUUGGGGCUAAUACCCUCGAGGAAGGACAUCACCCACAGAAGAAGCACCGGCUAACUCCGUGCCAGCAGCCGCGGUAAUACGGAGGGUGCGAGCGUUAAUCGGAAUUACUGGGCGUAAAGCGCGCGUAGGCGGUCUGAUAAGCCGGUUGUGAAAGCCCCGGGCUCAACCUGGGAACGGCAUCCGGAACUGUCAGGCUAGAGUGCAGGAGAGGAAGGUAGAAGUCCCGGUGUAGCGGUGAAAUGCGUAGAGAUCGGGAGGAAUACCAGUGGCGAAGGCGGCCUUCUGGACUGACACUGACGCUGAGGUGCGAAAGCGUGGGUAGCAAACAGGAUUAGAUACCCUGGUAGUC